UACGUAGGUGGCAAGCGUUGUCCGGAUUUACUGGGCGUAAAGAGCGCGCAGGCGGUUGGCUAAGUCGAAUGUGAAAGCCCCCGGCUCAACUGGGGAGGGUCAUUCGAUACUGAUCGACUCGAAGGCAGGAGAGGGUAGUGGAAUUCCCGGUGUAGUGGUGAAAUGCGUAGAUAUCGGGAGGAACACCAGUGGCGAAGGCGACUACCUGGCCUGUUCUUGACGCUGAGGCGCGAAAGCUAGGGGAGCAAACGGG
rnacentral:rRNA from 1 species